rnacentral:SRP_RNA from 1 species
GCCUGGUGCAGUGGCACAUGCCUAUAGUCCCAGCUACUCGGGAGUCUGAGUUGGGAGGAUGGCUUGAGCCCAGGAGUUCUAGGCUGUAAUGUGCUAUGUCGAUCGGGUGUCCACACUAAGUUUGGCAUCAAUAUGGUGACCUCCCAGGAGUGGGGGGCCACCAGGUUGCCUAAGGAGGGGUGAACCGGCCCAGGUUAGAGCAGGUCAACACUCCCAUGCUGAUCAGUAGUGGGAUUGCUCUUGUGAAUAGCCACUGCACUCCAGCCUGGGCAACAUAGAGACACCCCAUCUCU